AGGGAUGUAGCGCAGUUUAGUAGCGCCUUUGUUUUGGGUAAUAAAUGUCACGUGUUCAAAUCUUGUCAUCCUA
rnacentral:tRNA from 1 species